rnacentral:misc_RNA from 1 species
UGCGGGGCCCGCAGGUAGCUGC